UACGAAGGGGGCUAGCGUUGUUCGGAAUUACUGGGCGUAAAGCGUGCGCAGGCGGCCUUUCAAGUCAGUGGUGAAAGCCCGGAGCUCAACUCCGGAACUGCCAUUGAAACUGUUUGGCUUGAGUACGAGAGAGGUGAGUGGAAUUCCCAGUGUAGAGUGAAAUUCGUAGAUAUUGGGAAGAACACCGGUGGCGAAGGCGGCUCACUGGCUCGUAACUGACGCUCAUGCACGACAGCGUGGGGAUCAAACAGG
rnacentral:rRNA from 1 species